rnacentral:tRNA from 1 species
GCCCAUGUGGCUCAGGGGUAGAGCACUCCCUUGGUAAGGGAGAGGUCGGCGGUUCAAUUCCGCCCAUGGGCACCA